AGUUGUUUGACGAGUCCCAAACAGGACGGAACAUGUGUCCUGGAU
rnacentral:hammerhead_ribozyme from 1 species